GAUGAACGCUGACAGAAUGCUUAACACAUGCAAGUCUACUUGAAUUUGGGUUUUUUAACUUAGAUUUGGGUGGCGGACGGGUGAGUAACGCGUAAAGAACUUGCCUCACAGCUAGGGACAACAUUUGGAAACGAAUGCUAAUACCUGAUAUUAUGAUUUUAAGGCAUCUUAAAAUUAUGAAAGCUAUAUGCGCUGUGAGAGAGCUUUGCGUCCCAUUAGCUAGUUGGAGAGGUAACGGCUCACCAAGGCGAUGAUGGGUAGCCGGCCUGAGAGGGUGAACGGCCACAAGGGGACUGAGACACGGCCCUUACUCCUACGGGAGGCAGCAGUGGGGAAUAUUGGACAAUGGACCAAGAGUCUGAUCCAGCAAUUCUGUGCGCACGAUGACGUUUUUCGGAAUGUAAAGUGCUUUCAGUUGGGAAGAAAAAAAUGACGGUACCAACAGAAGAAG
rnacentral:rRNA from 1 species